AUUGAACGCUGGCGGCAGGCCUAACACAUGCAAGUCGAGCGGAUGAAGGGAGCUUGCUCCUGGAUUCAGCGGCGGACGGGUGAGUAAUGCCUAGGAAUCUGCCUGGUAGUGGGGGAUAACGUCCGGAAACGGGCGCUAAUACCGCAUACGUCCUGAGGGAGAAAGUGGGGGAUCUUCGGACCUCACGCUAUCAGAUGAGCCUAGGUCGGAUUAGCUAGUUGGUGGGGUAAAGGCCUACCAAGGCGACGAUCCGUAACUGGUCUGAGAGGAUGAUCAGUCACACUGGAACUGAGACACGGUCCAGACUCCUACGGGAGGCAGCAGUGGGGAAUAUUGGACAAUGGGCGAAAGCCUGAUCCAGCCAUGCCGCGUGUGUGAAGAAGGUCUUCGGAUUGUAAAGCACUUUAAGUUGGGAGGAAGAACAGUAAGUUAAUACAUUGCUGUUUUGACGUUACCAACAGAAUAAGCACCGGCUAACUUCGUG
rnacentral:rRNA from 1 species